CUAAUACCGGAUAGGACAUUNUGCCGCAUNGUGGGGUUUUGAAAGUUCCGGCGGUAUGGGAUNGCUUGCGGCCUAUCAGCUNNUUGGUGGGGUNAUGGCCUACCAAGGCGACGACGGGUNGCCGGCCUNAGAGGGUNACCGGCNACACUGGGACUGAGACACGGCCUAGACUCCUACGGGAGNUAGCAGUGGGNAAUCUNGCGCAAUGGGUGAAAGCCUNAUGCAGCAACGCUGUGUGGGNNAUGAAGGCUNCGGGUNGUNAACCNNUUUCACCAUCGACGAAGCCUUUUGGGGUNACGGUAGGUGGGNNAGAAGCACCGGCUAACUACGUGCCAGCAGCCGCGGUAAUACGUAGGGUGCGAGCGUAGUCCGGAUUUAUUGGGUGUAAAGAGCUGGUAGGCGGUUUGUCGCGUCGGCCGUGAAAACCUACAGCUAAACUGUGGGCUUGCGGUCGAUACGGGCAGACUUGAGUUCGGCAGGGGAGACUGGAAUUCCUGGUGUAGCGGUGAAAUGCGCAGAUAUCAGGAGGAACACCGGUGGCGAAGGCGGGUCUCUGGGCCGAUACUGACGCUGAGGAGCGAAAGCGUGGGGUAGCGAACAGGAUUAGAUACCCUNGUAGUCCACGCCGUAAACGGUGGGCGCUAGGUGUGGGNACUNGUUCCACGGUUUCCGUGCCUUAGCUNACGCAUUAAGCGCCCCGCCUNGGGAGUACGGCCGCAAGGCUAAAACUCAAAGGAAUUGACGGGGNCCNGCACAAGCGGCGGAGCAUGUGGAUUAAUUCGAUGNAACGCGAAGAACCUUACCUGGGUUUGACAUGCACUNGAUCGCCCUAGAGAUAGGGCGNCCCUNGUNGCUNGUGCACAGGUNGUGCAUNGCUNUCGUNAGCUNGUGUCGUGAGAUGUUGGGUAAAGGACUGCCGGGGUNAACUCGGAGGAAGGUGGGGAUGACGUCAAGUCAUCAUGCCCCUUAUGCCUAGGGCUUCACACAUGCUACAAUGGCCGGUACAGAGGGUGGCGAGACCGUGAGGUGGAGCGAAUCCCAGAAAGCCGGGNUCAGUUCGGAUCGGGGUCUGCACCUNGCCCNNGUGAAGUCGGAGUCGCUAGUAAUCGCAGAUCAGCAAUGCUGCGGUGAAUACGUUCCCGGGCCUUGUACACACCGCNCGUCACGUCAUGAAAGUCGGUAACACCCGAACCCAUGGCCCAACCCCGUGUGGGGGAGGGAGUNGUCGAAGGUGGGACUNGCGAUC
rnacentral:rRNA from 1 species